rnacentral:piRNA from 1 species
CAUUUCCUUUUAUUCCUGAAUGGCCA